AGUAUUUCAGUUUCCCAUGUCUCAGAAAAAAAACAAACUUCUCCCACAGUUCAACCAUUAUGGUUAAAUGUGGGGUGUGCAUUCUGCCUUUUUCUUGCGUUUCACAAAGGAGCCCAACACUUAACAUUUUCACAGCCUGAAGGCUGAGAUAAAGGACUAUUAGAAGACUCAUAAUAACAUCAGAUACCUACCUAAUAUCCUGAGGGAAAAAUCAAAUAAAGGAAAAUGUAUUUUUUAAGAA